UUAAGCGACUAAGCGUACACGGUGGAUGCCCUGGCAGUCAGAGGCGAUGAAGGACGUGCUAAUCUGCGAUAAGCGUCGGUAAGGUGAUAUGAACCGUUAUAACCGGCGAUUUCCGAAUGGGGAAACCCAGUGUGAUUCGUCACACUAUCAUUAACUGAAUCCAUAGGUUAAUGAGGCGAACCGGGGGAACUGAAACAUCUAAGUACCCCGAGGAAAAGAAAUCAACCGAGAUUCCCCCAGUAGCGGCGAGCGAACGGGGAGCAGCCCAGAGCCUGAAUCAGUGUGUGUGUUAGUGGAAGCGUCUGGAAAGGCGCGCGAUACAGGGUGACAGCCCCGUACACAAAAAUGCACAUGCUGUGAGCUCGAUGAGUAGGGCGGGACACGUGGUAUCCUGUCUGAAUAUGGGGGGACCAUCCUCCAAGGCUAAAUACUCCUGACUGACCGAUAGUGAACCAGUACCGUGAGGGAAAGGCGAAAAGAACCCCGGCGAGGGGAGUGAAAAAGAACCUGAAACCGUGUACGUACAAGCAGUGGGAGCACGCUUAGGCGUGUGACUGCGUACCUUUUGUAUAAUGGGUCAGCGACUUAUAUUCUGUAGCAAGGUUAACCGAAUAGGGGAGCCGAAGGGAAACCGAGUCUUAACUGGGCGUUAAGUUGCAGGGUAUAGACCCGAAACCCGGUGAUCUAGCCAUGGGCAGGUUGAAGGUUGGGUAACACUAACUGGAGGACCGAACCGACUAAUGUUGAAAAAUUAGCGGAUGACUUGUGGCUGGGGGUGAAAGGCCAAUCAAACCGGGAGAUAGCUGGUUCUCCCCGAAAGCUAUUUAGGUAGCGCCUCGUGAAUUCAUCUCCGGGGGUAGAGCACUGUUUCGGCAAGGGGGUCAUCCCGACUUACCAACCCGAUGCAAACUGCGAAUACCGGAGAAUGUUAUCACGGGAGACACACGGCGGGUGCUAACGUCCGUCGUGAAGAGGGAAACAACCCAGACCGCCAGCUAAGGUCCCAAAGUCAUGGUUAAGUGGGAAACGAUGUGGGAAGGCCCAGACAGCCAGGAUGUUGGCUUAGAAGCAGCCAUCAUUUAAAGAAAGCGUAAUAGCUCACUGGUCGAGUCGGCCUGCGCGGAAGAUGUAACGGGGCUAAACCAUGCACCGAAGCUGCGGCAGCGACGCUGAUGCGUUGUUGGGUAGGGGAGCGUUCUGUAAGCCUGUGAAGGUGUACUGUGAGGUAUGCUGGAGGUAUCAGAAGUGCGAAUGCUGACAUAAGUAACGAUAAAGCGGGUGAAAAGCCCGCUCGCCGGAAGACCAAGGGUUCCUGUCCAACGUUAAUCGGGGCAGGGUGAGUCGACCCCUAAGGCGAGGCCGAAAGGCGUAGUCGAUGGGAAACAGGUUAAUAUUCCUGUACUUGGUGUUACUGCGAAGGGGGGACGGAGAAGGCUAUGUUGGCCGGGCGACGGUUGUCCCGGUUUAAGCGUGUAGGCUGGUUUUCCAGGCAAAUCCGGAAAAUCAAGGCUGAGGCGUGAUGACGAGGCACUACGGUGCUGAAGCAACAAAUGCCCUGCUUCCAGGAAAAGCCUCUAAGCAUCAGGUAACAUCAAAUCGUACCCCAAACCGACACAGGUGGUCAGGUAGAGAAUACCAAGGCGCUUGAGAGAACUCGGGUGAAGGAACUAGGCAAAAUGGUGCCGUAACUUCGGGAGAAGGCACGCUGAUAUGUAGGUGAAGCGACUUGCUCGUGGAGCUGAAAUCAGUCGAAGAUACCAGCUGGCUGCAACUGUUUAUUAAAAACACAGCACUGUGCAAACACGAAAGUGGACGUAUACGGUGUGACGCCUGCCCGGUGCCGGAAGGUUAAUUGAUGGGGUCAGCGCAAGCGAAGCUCUUGAUCGAAGCCCCGGUAAACGGCGGCCGUAACUAUAACGGUCCUAAGGUAGCGAAAUUCCUUGUCGGGUAAGUUCCGACCUGCACGAAUGGCGUAAUGAUGGCCAGGCUGUCUCCACCCGAGACUCAGUGAAAUUGAACUCGCUGUGAAGAUGCAGUGUACCCGCGGCAAGACGGAAAGACCCCGUGAACCUUUACUAUAGCUUGACACUGAACAUUGAGCCUUGAUGUGUAGGAUAGGUGGGAGGCUUUGAAGUGUGGACGCCAGUCUGCAUGGAGCCGACCUUGAAAUACCACCCUUUAAUGUUUGAUGUUCUAACGUUGACCCGUGAUCCGGGUUGCGGACAGUGUCUGGUGGGUAGUUUGACUGGGGCGGUCUCCUCCUAAAGAGUAACGGAGGAGCACGAAGGUUGGCUAAUCCUGGUCGGACAUCAGGAGGUUAGUGCAAUGGCAUAAGCCAGCUUGACUGCGAGCGUGACGGCGCGAGCAGGUGCGAAAGCAGGUCAUAGUGAUCCGGUGGUUCUGAAUGGAAGGGCCAUCGCUCAACGGAUAAAAGGUACUCCGGGGAUAACAGGCUGAUACCGCCCAAGAGUUCAUAUCGACGGCGGUGUUUGGCACCUCGAUGUCGGCUCAUCACAUCCUGGGGCUGAAGUAGGUCCCAAGGGUAUGGCUGUUCGCCAUUUAAAGUGGUACGCGAGCUGGGUUUAGAACGUCGUGAGACAGUUCGGUCCCUAUCUGCCGUGGGCGCUGGAGAACUGAGGGGGGCUGCUCCUAGUACGAGAGGACCGGAGUGGACGCAUCACUGGUGUUCGGGUUGUCAUGCCAAUGGCACUGCCCGGUAGCUAAAUGCGGAAGAGAUAAGUGCUGAAAGCAUCUAAGCACGAAACUUGCCCCGAGAUGAGUUCUCCCUGACUCCUUGAGAGUCCUGAAGGAACGUUGAAGACGACGACGUUGAUAGGCCGGGUGUGUAAGCGCAGCGAUGCGUUGAGCUAACCGGUACUAAUGAACCGUGAGGCUUAACCUU
rnacentral:rRNA from 1 species